rnacentral:rRNA from 1 species
CAGCAGCAGCCGCGGUAAUACGAAGGGGGCUAGCGUUGUUCGGAAUUACUGGGCGUAAAGCGCACGUAGGCGGAUAUUUAAGUCAGGGGUGAAAUCCCAGAGCUCAACUCUGGAACUGCCUUUGAUACUGGGUAUCUUGAGUAUGGAAGAGGUGAGUGGAAUUCCGAGUGUAGAGGUGAAAUUCGUAGAUAUUCGGAGGAACACCAGUGGCGAAGGCGGCUCACUGGUCCAUUACUGACGCUGAGGUGCGAAAGCGUGGGGAGCAAACAGGAUUAGAUACCCCCGUAGUCCCUGUCUCUUAUAC